AGGAUAUGCACUCAACAGCAAUCUACGUAGCUGAUCCAGAGAAGCAACAUGUACAAUCAAAGGGUUAUCAGCAGGGCGGUUCUUUGCUUUGUAUAUUGACAAGACUGCUUCAGUCCUUCGGGCAUCAGCACCGAGACCGUAAACUGUUUCGGUAGGAAAAGCAACUGGAUAAUCGGUGUUUCUCAAUAUAUUCGCGGCGUUCUCUAAUGCAGAACGAGUUUCUGAGGGAGGUAUGGACACCCUUGUGUGUUCAAAAGGAUGUUCCGAAUCAUUACUAGGCUUUUCAAAAGAGAUAAGGCGAGUAUCAACUGUUUGAAUUUUUGUUUCCAUUGUCAAGGAAGAAAACCUAAGUUUCUGGCUUACUGAGGCCAAUUUUGCUAUAAAAUUGUAAUACUUCAGCUUGUUUUAUGUUAAUUGAUUUAGAAAGAAGAAGCUAAAUGCUGAUAGAGAGAAGGGUGAAGUUGAUUGCUAUUAUUAAGUUGAAGCGCAUCAUUGCUGGUUGUCGACUCUUGCAAAGUAAGAGAAA